UCAUCUCCUAAAAACGAGCCAGUGGAGACGUUGGACUCUGCACACUGACAUUGCUUACACUGCACUGGAGGCUGUAUUAUUUUAUUGCUGAGGUAAUGAGGUGGUCAUGCUUGUCUUUUUUUUAUGGGGGGUGACAAAGAAGAGUUCUCCCAUCCCAUAAUAUCACUGGGGUAGAUUACACUGAACUAUAACUGUGCACACUUUCUAAAAAGGAAUAGUGACAUUUGUUUUUAAAUGCCCAUCACAGGUGGAUAUGGAGGAUUUUUAGGAAUGGGUCAUCCUGGAUGCUUGUGUAGUUUUGGAGAACCUCACUGCAUUCCCUUAUGCGAAGAGGAGAUGUAGGUGGGAGUCUAAAAAGUGUUAUCUUAAGAUAUUUGGUUGUUUGACCCAUGUGGUUUUUUUUUUUUUUUACAGUAAUACGCACAUUGUUUGCAGAUAUAAUUUUGCAUUGAGUUGAUGUUAAAAUUUCAACCAGAUAAAACUUUAUAGUGAGCAUAAACUAUUCUUAAUAAUUUCCUACUGCCGUUACAGUCACAGUGACAUGCUGAAUGGCUACAUGCAGCUUUGCUCAGAUACGCUCAGAUCGCCACCUGGUGGCAAGAAGAAGAAGGAUUUUCUAGGUUCUUGGUCUUCUUUAAAGAAAAAUUAUUUAAAGUUAUGAAAUACAUUCUUGAUAAGUAAAAGAUCAACAUUUGGAAAACCAUGGAUGGAUUUUUUGAAUAUCUUUGCCCCCUCCCCCCAAGUUUUGACAUUCAACCAAAAAUUAUGUUAUUCUGAUGUGAGAACAGGACAUAACUUUCUCAGUUAUAGUAAGGGUUGCUUGCAGGCGUUGAGUAAAAAAGAAAAAAAGAAGCCAGUUGUUGUGAUUUGGCGCUGUAUAAAUAAAACUGAAUUGGAUUUAAAAUCACAGUGACAUGCUUACAGCUUUGCUCAGACACACACAGAACUGCAUCUAUUGGCAAGGAAGAGGACAAUUUUCUAGUUUCUCACUGAAAUGAAAUAAAACUUUAUAAUCAUUUAGUUUUUCCAAGUUUCUCAAUCAUGUAGGGCUGAUUGUAGGAGGGGCGAGGGGAGCUUAAGGAGUUUAAAAGUUUGGCUGGCCUGUCUUUCACUGAUCUGGCACAUCUGCUUAGCAUGAAUCUGCUCUCAUCUGUGAAGAGAACAGGGUGCCAGUGGUAAACACCAGUCAAGCUGCAUGAUGCUGAGCUGUGAGCAUUGACCUAUAUGACACCCUCAUGGAGUCUCUUUCAGAAACAUGCCUGAGUAACCUGUUUGAGGUCAUUUUCUGGAACUCUGGCAGCGCUCUUCUUCACACAAACAAAUACCGGUCCUGCUGCUGGGUUUACACGCCCUCUCCUUCCCUGUCAAGCUCUCUUUGCAGUAGCAGGCCCAUUUCCUGGUAUCGCCUCCACACUCUGGAAACUGCGCUGGGAGACACAGCAAACCUUGCAAUGGCAGGUUUGGAUGUGUCAUUCUGGAGAAGGUGGACUACCUGUGCAACCUAAACCAGCUGCAGCAAAACCAGAGAAAAAUCAGUCAGGAGGGAGAGAGCAACAGUCUGCAUCGACCAUCUGCACAGUCUUUGCUGUUUUGGAGGGGUUGUUUGGUCGUUGCCUAAUCACUGCACCUGUUGUCACACUGAGUCACACCAAAGCAGGUGAAACUGAUUCAUGGUGGUUUAUACUUCCUAACAUAACAGACUGAAAAUCCUUUAAAUAACUCAGACUGUGUGUGUCAUUCUGUGAUAAUCAGGACUACCCUUGUAUAAAUAUAUGAACACAAUAUCAAGCCAAGUGAAGUCGUCAAUAUCCUGUACAUUUGGCCUGGUUUUAUUGUGAAUACCAAUUAAUAAGUAUGGUUAAAAGAAUACAUACAAACAGCAGGGUACACCUUUAGACGGAACCUUUUACAAUAAUGUUGCUUUAAAACUUAAAAAAAAAUAAAA